CCUACGGGUGGCUGCAGUGGGGAAUAUUGGACAAUGGGCGAAAGCCUGAUCCAGCCAUGCCGCGUGUGUGAAGAUGGCCUUCGGGUUGUAAAGCACUUUCAGUGGGGAAGAAAGCCUUGGGGCUAAUACCCUCGAGGAAGGACAUCACCCACAGAAGAAGCACCGGCUAACUCCGUGCCAGCAGCCGCGGUAAUACGGAGGGUGCGAGCGUUAAUCGGAAUUACUGGGCGUAAAGCGCGCGUAGGCGGUCUGAUAAGCCGGUUGUGAAAGCCCCGGGCUCAACCUGGGAACGGCAUCCGGAACUGUCAGGCUAGAGUGCAGGAGAGGAAGGUAGAAUUCCCGGUGUAGCGGUGAAAUGCGUAGAGAUCGGGAGGAAUACCAGUGGCGAAGGCAGCCUUCUGGACUGACACUGACGCUGAGGUGCGAAAGCGUGGGUAGCAAACAGGAUUAGAUACCCCGGUAGUC
rnacentral:rRNA from 1 species